UGCAGCGACGCCGCGUGAGGGAUGACGGCCUUCGGGUUGUAAACCUCUUUCAGCAGGGACGAAGCGCAAGUGACGGUACCUGUAGAAGAAGGACCGGCCAACUACGUGCCAGCAGCCGCGGUAAUACGUAGGGUCCGAGCGUUGUCCGGAAUUACUGGGCGUAAAGAGCUCGUAGGUGGUUUGUCGCGUUGUUCGUGAAAACUCACAGCUCAACUGUGGGCGUGCGGGCGAUACGGGCAGACUUGAGUACUGCAGGGGAGACUGGAAUUCCUGGUGUAGCGGUGGAAUGCGCAGAUAUCAGGAGGAACACCGGUGGCGAAGGCGGGUCUCUGGGCAGUAACUGACGCUGAGGAGCGAAAGCGUGGGGAGCGAACAGGAUUAGAUACCCUGGUAGUCCACGCCGUAAACGGUGGGUACUAGGUGUGGGUUUCCUUCCUUGGGAUCCGUGCCGUAGCUAACGCAUUAAGUACCCCGCCUGGGGAGUACGGCCGCAAGGCUAAAACUCAAAGAAAUUGACGGGGGCCCGCACAAGCGGCGGAGCAUGUGGAUUAAUUCGAUGCAACGCGAAGAACCUUACCUGGGUUUGACAUGCACAGGACGCCGGCAGAGAUGUCGGUUCCCUUGUGGCCUG
rnacentral:rRNA from 1 species